UACGAAGGGGGCUAGCGUUGCUCGGAAUUACUGGGCGUAAAGCGCACGUAGGCGGCUUUCUAAGUCGGGGGUGAAAUCCUGGAGCUCAACUCCAGAACUGCCUUCGAUACUGGAGAGCUUGAGUCCGGGAGAGGUGAGUGGAGCUGCGAGUGUAGAGGUGAAAUUCGUAGAUAUUCGCAAGAACACCAGUGGCGAAGGCGGCUCACUGGCCCGGUACUGACGCUGAGGUGCGAAAGCGUGGGGAGCAAACAGG
rnacentral:rRNA from 1 species